UACGGGGGGAGCAAGCGUUGUUCGGAUUUACUGGGCGUAAAGGGCGCGUAGGCGGCCACCGCAAGUCGACUGUGAAAUCUCCGGGCUUAACCCGGAACGGUCAGCCGAUACUGCGGGGCUAGAGUGCAGAAGGGGCAACUGGAAUUCUCGGUGUAGCGGUGAAAUGCGUAGAGAUGUGGAGGAACACCAAUGGCGAAGGCAGCCUUCUGGGCCAACACUGACGCUCAUGCACGAAAGCGUGGGGAGCAAACAGG
rnacentral:rRNA from 1 species